UUUGCAAAGUUUCUUUUCACCUGUUGAUUUAUUGCUCUUUGAUUCUGUGUAGUUUUUUAAGAAGAAGUACUGAAGUAGCAUGUACUCUGCUUUCAUUCAGUUGUUAAUCCGUCUCAUUUAGCCUAUAUAAACUUAAGUGAAAAACAUUAAAAACUCCCUUUUAGUUUAGUUGCCUAAUUAAUUAGCUUUCUUUUGCAACUCUAGGGUUCAGUAAUUGGUUCCUGUUCGUCUACAUUCCCUGUUAAAAUCUAAUAUUUAUAAUUUUCUUUUUCUAUAAUAAUUGAGUGAAACUAUGUCUGUAGGAGGCACAACUUGAUGACAAUAUAGUCACAGAUUUGCCAAGUGAUCCUGUAUUGCACAACAUGAGAACUCGAAGGGUUCAAGCUGCCAACAUGGGCAUAUCAGAAUCAGUAUGUGGUUUUAUUUGCCUUAUUUCUUUCCAAUUAUGACGUUGUUUUACCAAAAGAUCAUAUGUUCAUGUUUUGUAAUUUGUAGAGACAAAAGCAAGUCUACCUUAUUUCACUGAUAAACAAAGGCAGAGUUGUGGCCAAAUGGAAGUUAGUGACUACAGAUAGCCAAAGAGAAAUAUUAGGAGCAAAGCUUGGACCAGAAUAUUGUGGGGUUCUUAUUGAAGGCCUUGAAAAUAUUGAACUUGGCAAUAUUACAAAUGAGGAGGUACCUAGACCAUCUAAUCAGAUUCGUACACUAAUUGAUGCUAUUGGCUAUGUUAUUCCUUGGCCAAUUACACAUGUAAGUUUCUUUUUUAUUUGAAAUAGUACAUGUGUCCCCAUAACAACUUCAAAUUGAGUUAUUGAUCUAACACAUGCUUCAUAGGUGAAGCAAGCUAGAAGCUUAUCUUGUACCCGCAACAAAUUGGUACCUGCAGCACGUGGACAAAGCUAGAUGGCGUGGACAAAGCUAGAUGGGAAGCCUAGUAUAAUUGCAAAGUGAAUCAGUUAGAUUCUAGUAGUUACUAAAAUUUUUAAGUGAUAUUUGUAUGAUAUUGCCACUUUGGCUUUGCUUCUUUGUGAACACAAUUGGCAGUUACUGAACAUGUUUGCUAUCGAGUUAGUUAGCUUCUUGAUA